AUGUUGGCUGUCGUCUCCAUUCUACAUCUGGAGCUUCGCUGGUCCGGUGCUGCUGCUGUGCGCGAUAAACACCUCGGUACUUAUACUGGCUCUGCGGGAGGCAGUGUUUGCAGGUCUCAGCCAGGGGAAAUCGAAAACGGAGACCGUCUGGAUCUGGAUACGAGGGUGGUUCUCGCUGUCCGCUCUCCUGGGCAUAACGUGGCUGUUUGGACUCGCCUACAUGG